CAAUAAUACCCCUCAUGCCUAAAGGGCUUUAAACACUGUCUAGACUCCCCCAGCACAUCUGAUUGACAUGUGCUGAAUUUUCACGUUGUACAAAAAUAUUGCCUGAUGGAUUAGAUUAUGGCCAUGAGUGACCUGCAAGCUGGCAGCCAGCACCCCUCAAACAAUCUCCUGUUUCUUACCCACAUCAGGGAGACUGCAGAUAAUACGGCGGAAAGAGAUCAGUAGAAGCAGUUCACUCUUCAAAGUCUCAAGGACCUUACCAUGGCAAACUACACUAACUCUUCUGGACACCCACAGGAUCUGCAGGACUUGCCAUCAGACAGGCUGCUCCCCAGGCUCUCCUGGUGUUUGCAUGGACCCAGCAGUGCAGACACAGGCUCCCCAGCCACCUCCCCCUGAGCAUUUAGCCCAGACUGAGAGAAGCCAGAUCUAUAUCUAGGAAUAUGGAAAUGCAGAAGAAUGUCGUUCAUCAGCUCAGAUACUAAUGAGAACAUGAGCAGGCAAAAAGCUCUCUUCCAAACAGGCUGGUGCCAAAACGCUCCAUUCAGACACUCAGUGUGAUGCCAAGAGCACAUAACUGCCUAGCUGAGCAUCUGAGUGACAGCACAUCUGCGCUUGCAGGCUGAAAGUCAACAAAAAAGUUAAAUAGUACAAAGUGAUCAGUGUUGCAUGAAGUAUACACUGACAUGAAGUAUAUACACCUCUUGCUUUCAGCUGCAUGGCCCCCAAAUUCUGACCAUGCUGCUACUGCAGUCUUGCUCAGCGCUUUGGGCUCAGCUUCUCACACACACACAGCAACUUCAAGCAGAUUUUCAUACCUCUCCUUUCUCCCAGAUUACUGAAAAGUGGGGUUAUUGGUGUGUCCUGUGAUAUAUGAGCUAUCCAGAGGUAUGAAGCUAUGAAAGGAAAGAGCCUUUGGGAGACUGGAAAUGCGCAGAUAAACCAUGCACAGAGAAUAUGCAAGGGAGAGCAUGAGAAAAGUGGGGGACUGUUAGUACACAGAAAGUGGCAUCAUAG
rnacentral:lncRNA from 1 species